GAGUUUGAUCCUGGCUCAGAGCGAACGCUGGCGGCAGGCCUAACACAUGCAAGUCGAACGGUUCCUUCGGGGACAGUGGCAGACGGGUGAGUAACGCGUGGGAACGUGCCCUUCGGUUCGGAAUAACUCAGGGAAACUUGAGCUAAUACCGGAUACGUCCGAGAGGAGAAAGAUUUAUCGCCGAAGGAUCGGCCCGCGUCUGAUUAGCUAGUUGGUGGGGUAAUGGCCUACCAAGGCGACGAUCAGUAGCUGGUCUGAGAGGAUGAUCAGCCACACUGGGACUGAGACACGGCCCAGACUCCUACGGGAGGCAGCAGUGGGGAAUAUUGGACAAUGGGCGCAAGCCUGAUCCAGCCAUGCCGCGUGAGUGAUGAAGGCCCUAGGGUUGUAAAGCUCUUUUGUCCGGGACGAUAAUGACGGUACCGGAAGAAUAAGCCCCGGCUAACUUCGUG
rnacentral:rRNA from 1 species